rnacentral:rRNA from 1 species
UACGAAGGGGGCGAGCGUUGUUCGGAUUUACUGGGCGUAAAGGGCGCGUAGGCGGCCCUCCUUGUCGCGUGUGAAAGCCCCGGGCUCAACCUGGGAAUUGCGCGCGAAACGGGGGGGCUUGAGUUCGGGAGAGGAGCGUGGAAUUCCCAGUGUAGAGGUGAAAUGCGUAGAUAUUGGGAGGAACACCAGUGGCGAAGGCGGCUCACUGGACCGGAACUGACGCUGAGGCGCGAAAGCGUGGGGAGCAAACAGG